rnacentral:rRNA from 1 species
UACGAAGGGGGCUAGCGUUGUUCGGAAUUACUGGGCGUAAAGCGCACGUAGGCGGACUAUUAAGUCAGGGGUGAAAUCCCGGGGCUCAACCCCGGAACUGCCUUUGAUACUGCUAGUCUCGAGUCCGGAAGAGGUGAGUGGAAUUCCGAGUGUAGAGGUGAAAUUCGUAGAUAUUCGCAAGAACACCAGUGGCGAAGGCGGCUCACUGGCCCGAUACUGACGCUGAGGUGCGAAAGCGUGGGGAGCAAAGCAGG